rnacentral:tRNA from 1 species
GCCGGCGUAGCUCAGCAGGUAGAGCAGCGGUUUUGUAAACCGUAGGUCGCAGGUUCAACUCCUGUCGCCGGCUCCA